GCCGUCCACCAUUGAGUUCUCCAGUUCUGAGUCACUAUCAGACUGAAAGUCUUUCACGGAUCACUGGAUGCGAAGGGAUAUUUAAGAGGUCCUUUGUGAUCAGUGAAGUAGUAAGGAGCACUCCGAUAGAUGGCAAAGGGUCCGACAGAAUCGGACCAUCCAGUAGGAUCCGAUCAAGCACACCGACGACUUUGUUGGCACACAUGUCAUUGCAGAUAGACUGAUAAAAAUUCUGUACUUAUAUUAAUCUCAUAUUUGAUCAUAUAUUUAUUUUUAUUAAUUUAAUUUUAUUAUUUUAUUGUAGACACGACAGCUGGAUCAUGUACUAUGCCAGCUAUAGUUGUGAGAGGUUACACACCAGUCAGGAGAACUAGUGAUUACUUAGAUUCUAUGUCUAGACGGAUCGCGAUA
rnacentral:lncRNA from 1 species